GACAGAGGGUGCAAACGUUGUUCGGAAUUACUGGGCGUAAAGCGCGUGUAGGCUGCUCGGAAAGUCGGAUGUGAAAGCCCUGGGCUCAACCUAGGAAGUGCAUUCGAAACUUCCGAGCUGGAGUUCCGGAGAGGAAGGCGGAAUUCUCGGUGUAGAGGUGAGAUUCGUAGAUAUCGAGAGGAACACCGGUGGCGAAGGCGGCCUUCUGGACGGAAACUGACGCUGAGACGCGAAAGCGUGGGGAGCAAACAGG
rnacentral:rRNA from 1 species